GGGGGUAAAUUAAUAAAAUAAGAGUAAUAAAAAAAUUUUUAAUAUUGGGGGGUAUUAAAGUAUUUUUUUAAGAAAAAAUAAAAAAAAUUAUAUAAAAUUAGUAUUGUAAAAGAAAUUUGAAAUAAAAUUGAAAAUUAAUUAAUAAAUAAGUAAAUUUAGUUUAUUGUAUCUUGUGUAUCAGAGUUUAUUUAAAAAUAUUUAAUAAAUAAUAAAAUCUCGAAUUUAAAAGAGUUAAUUAAUUAAAAAAGUUAAUGUUGAAUAAUUAUUUUAAAUAAUUAAUUGGAAAUGAAAUGUUAUUCGUUUUUAAAUAUAUCUAGUUUUUUUAGAAAAAAAUUUAAUUUAAAAUUUAAAAAAUUUUAUAUUUAAUUAAAAAAAAAAUAAAAUUUUAAAAUUAAAUAUAUUAGGGGAUAAGCAUUAAUUUAAAAAUUUAUAAUAAAAAUUAAUUUAAUAAAAUUUUUAAAAUUUAUAUUGUUUAAAAAUUAUAAUUUAUUAUAAGAAACUUUAUAUAAAAUAAAAUUUAAUUUAUCAUUUAAUUUUUUAUAAAAAUAUAUUUUAUAAUGAAAUAAAAAUAGAAAUAAUAAUAAAAUUAGUAUAUUAAAAAUUAAUAUUAUAAGUUUAAUUUAAAAUUAAUAUAAAGGAAUUCGGCAAAAUUUUAUAUUCACUUGUUUAUCAAAAACAUGUCUUUUAGGUAAUAAUUUAAAGUCUAAUCUGCCCACUGAUUAAAAUUAAAGGGCUGCAGUAUAUUGACUGUACAAAGGUAGCAUAAUCAUUAGUCUUUUAAUUGAAGACUUGUAUGAAAGAUUUAAUGAAAUAUAGACUGUCUCUAUAUUAUUAAUAAAAAUUAAUUUUUUAGUCAAAAAGCUAAAAUUUAUUUAAAAGACGAGAAGACCCUGUAGAGUUUUAUAAUAAUAAUAAUUAAAAUUAUUUAUAUAAUUAAUAAAUUUUAAUUAUUAUUAUUAUUUUAUUGGGGUGAUAAAAAAAUUGAAUUAACUUUUUAUUAAUUUAAACAUAAAUAAGUGAUUAUUUGAUCCAUUUAUAAUGAUUAAAAGAAAAAAUUACCUUAGGGAUAACAGCGUAAUUUUUUCUUUUAGCUCAAAUAAAAAAAAAAGAUUGCGACCUCGAUGUUGGAUUAAGAUAAAAAUUAAAUGCAAAAGUUUAAAAUUUUGAUCUGUUCGAUCAUUAAAAUCUUACAUGAUCUGAGUUCAAACCGGUGUAAGCCAGGUUGGUUUCUAUCUUUAGAAAUUUUAAAUAUUUUA
rnacentral:rRNA from 1 species